CCUACGGGAGGCAGCAGUGAGGAAUAUUGGUCAAUGGACGCGAGACUGAACCAGCCAAGUAGCGUGAAGGAUGACGGCCCUAUGGGUUGUAAACUUCUUUUAUAUGGGAAUAAAAUGUUCCACGUGUGGGGUUUUGUAUGUACCGUAUGAAUAAGGAUCGGCUAACUCCGUGCCAGCAGCCGCGGUAAUACGGAGGAUCCGAGCGUUAUCCGGAUUUAUUGGGGUUAAAGGGAGCGUAGGUGGAUUGUUAAGUGAGUUGUGAAAGUUUGCGGCUCAACCGUAAAACUGCAGUUGAAACUGGCAGUCUUGAGUACAGUAGAGGUGGGCGGAAUUCGUGGUGUAGCGGUGAAAUGCUUAGAUAUCACGAAGAACUCCGAUUGCGAAGGCAGCUCACUGGACUGCAACUGACACUGAGGCGCGAAAGUGUGGGUAUCAAACAGGAUUAGAUACCCUUGUAGUC
rnacentral:rRNA from 1 species